rnacentral:rRNA from 1 species
AUUGAACGCUGGCGGCAGGCCUAACACAUGCAAGUCGAGCGGAUGAAGGGAGCUUGCUCCUGGAUUCAGCGGCGGACGGGUGAGUAAUGCCUAGGAAUCUGCCUGGUAGUGGGGGAUAACGUCCGGAAACGGGCGCUAAUACCGCAUACGUCCUGAGGGAGAAAGUGGGGGAUCUUCGGACCUCACGCUAUCAGAUGAGCCUAGGUCGGAUUAGCUAGUUAGUGGGGUAAAGGCCUACCAAGGCGACGAUCCGUAACUGGUCUGAGAGGAUGAUCAGUCACACUGGAACUGAGACAUGGUCCAGACUCCUACGGGAGGCAGCAGUGGGGAAUAUUGGACAAUGGGCGAAAGCCUGAUCCAGCCAUGCCGCGUGUGUGAAGAAGGUCUUCGGAUUGUAAAGCACUUUAAGUUGGGAGGAAGGGCAGUAAGUUAAUACCUUGCUGUUUUGACGUUACCAACAGAAUAAGCACCGGCUAACUUCGUG